AGAGUAGACGUAGUCCGUGUGGUCUAGAUAGCGGAUGGCAGUUCUAGGAUUUUAAUUCUGCUGCUGUAUACCAGCUUGCUGUAGGCCCCUGAUUGAAUCCUUUGCUCACGUUGUGCCUGUCACCCAGUCUUCCCCAGAUGGGCUAAAAGGCAGUGCCCUUCACCUGAGCCUCCUUGGCAAGUGAAUAACCAAAAGGAAGUGUGUCAGAUGCAUGCACCCCAUGAUAUGCCAGGAGGAUCUGCCAAAGGAUGGUGUCCAGCAGGGGAAUAGCCUGACUCGGUGCAAGAGGGACUUGGUCCUCCUACACAUGCUGUAACUGAGAGCAGCACAUCUAUAAUGAUUUAAGCCCUUGGGGUGCGAUUUGUCUCACUGUGGCCAGUGCGAGGGAGCCUGUACGUGCCACCGUCAUAAUAUAGAUUGUGCUAGUGCCCUUACCCUGCUGAACACCGCUCUGUCCAGUGCCUUCCAAUCUUGACCUGGCUCCGUAUCCUGCCAUUCCCGAUCAGAAGGCCAGAAAUUGAAAGGCCCAUUGUGCCAAGCCAGGGUUCAAAUGUAGACAAACCAGGUAAAACACGUCCGUUCUACGCUUCUUUCUUCCCACUCCUCACUCUCCCCUGCCUCCAGCAUACGCCUCCUCAUAUACAAAACCAGCCUGUUGCCUCAGUGCAUUACCUUAGCCCCACCCUGCUAAAGUGUCGUGUGUGUGUUUUUCCUCUUGCAAUUAACUAAAGUGCAGUCUGGUUGUGGAGUACCCUUGAAUGCUGAAGCAACAAGUGAGGUGAGUCUGUAGGGAGCUCUGAAGGAUGACAGCUUAUCACACAGAUCUAUCAGGUAUUGGGGGAAGAGUUGUCAAAUUGACUAACUGCCUAGGGUUCCUGUGACACACAUGUUGCAUUUGCUGAAAGCACAAAGCUAAUAUUCAAAAUGCUGUCCGGAUUAAGAGGUUUUUUUGAAUACAUCUCUUGAGAGCUGAUGUCCUUCAAAUAGAAUUGUGCUUGGGGUGUAGAGACAUGGCAAAAGGGAAAACUAAUGCAAGAAUAACACUUGUAUAUCCAGCACCGCAAAGAUGCGGCUGCUUCUGAGGUGGAGGAUAGCAUGUGGCCGUGCUGCACCACUGUUGAGAGUGGGGGAGGAAAUGGUAGCAAGAAAGCUUCUCCAUCCCACGUUGGAGGAAGAUGCUACUCUGACAUCCAGAAGAGCUUUUAAAUCUCCUGUGUGUUCAGCCAAAUGGUGGGCUGUCCCAGCCUCAGAUUGCAAAAAUUAUUAAAGCUGCCUGUGUGUAGGAAACUCCGCUAUGGUCCUGUGCUGUCUUGGGAGAACCAGGCACUGUUCUAAUGGGGGAAAAGAUCUUGGCUGCAAGCUAGUCUGAGAUCAGUACCCUCACGGGGGUGUCCUCUCUGCUGGGUGGGAGUGCCCUUCAGAGACUGGCCAUGCUGCCCCUAGUGCUCCUGCACGGGUUGUUGGAGAGCUGCCUCCUGCGUAAAGUGAGCUACCUCCCAUAGCUUACCACUGCGCAAUGCAGAACGUAUGUUCUGCGCAGAAUUUCAUUUUUUUUUUUUCCUGAAGAAUUGGUGCUGCAGAGCUGCUGGCCGCUGCUGCAGGCCACUGGACCCAGUGGAGCCUGGCUCCCCAGCUUGCAGUGCGCCUGCGCGGGAGGCCUAGCAUGCCCUGAAUGAAGGCUGCAGCCCCGCAGUUAUCAGAGCCUCUAGCCUGGGGGGAUGGAGGCCCUAUGGCUCUGCAUGUGAUGACUGCAUCCACCUGGGGAUGGGAGUGGGCCUGGGAGACCCAGCUGCGCCAGUUCUUAGAGUGUGGCCACACCCUUCCUCACCUUGCAUCUUCCAGCAGGACAGUAAUGAAGCUGGGUGGGGUGGAGCCUGCAGCUGGGCUCUGGGGGAAGUGGGUGCAUGUAUCUGGGCUGGGGGGGGCCUCCAGCACCCCCAAAAUACUUUGUGCCAGUGCACACACACCCGUCUUCAUCCCUCCAGCAGCAUUCUCUAUUUGCAAACUUGACAUAUGGUAACCCUAUGGGGGCAGGGCAAAAAAAUGGAAUUGACUAGAGGGGCAAAAUUUCCCCCAAGAUAUGCCCAGCUGGCAUGUGUGAUGCACCCAGACUGAGGUGCCCAACUAAAGCAUAGCCGAGAAACAGGAACUGGGUUGUCGUAGGGGUUUCUUUAACACUCUGCUCCUGGGGGAAUCUCUUUUGUUGUCUGUAUUGUUACAGACAUACUUGCUGACAGGUUUUUUUGCAAUAAUAAAUUACCAAAGUAAUUGAAACUGGUGUAAUUAUAUUGUGUUUUUUAGAAAUAAAAUAGGCAGAACUUUGCAGACUUUUAAAAUAUUGUGUGCCGAACUUUAAAUUUUUUGGUGCAGAAUUCCUCCGGGAGUGAUAGUUGUCCUCUCGGCAAGGGGAAGGGCCCUUUAAAGAGAUUCAAAUAGUGUUUUGACUGGUCUUCCACUUACUGGCUGCUUCAUGCUGCCGUUCAGCUAAAGGCAGCUUUGAAGUGCCAGGAAAGCCAUUCCCUGCCAUGGGUGACCUAUGCAGCCAGCUGCCUGGAAUCCCUUUUAUGCUGUUCCCUUCACAGAGCGUGUCUGUAAGUGGAAGUACCAUGCUGUUUCCCUCCACUUCUCACUGUGCUUUGCAGGCUUCUUCAAAUGUCAGGCUUCAGGAGGUCUCUCCUCUUAGCUUCUGCACCCCAGUUGGAAUGGAGGGAAUCCGUGGCCACCUCCUUUUAGAGAGAGUAGGCUUCUUGUGAUGGCCAGCAAAUUAAAGGUCUGUGCAUUUAAUUGUAUCCAUCACUGGAAAGAUGUCUGUCAUGUGUUAGAAGGGUACAGCUGUCUCCCAAAACUCUGCUGGCAUCUGAAUCCUGUGACGCUCUUGGUCAUAUUAGUCUGAAUCUUGGGGUACAGGUUGGCACCUCUGUACGCUAAUAUCCUCAUACUGUAGUGUUCUCGCAGACAGGUAUCUUCCCUCCCUCCCUCAGUCCACUAUUACUCUGUGCAGCACCAUGCCUUAGCUAAAGGAGGCAAUGGAAUGUUAAACAGCUGGGAUAACUAGGCCCCACGUCCAGUUCCUGAGAUGGAUGCUCACUGCAGCUACAGAAGUGGCGCUGAGCUUGGGGGUGAGUGAGACAUGGAGGUGGGAGAGUGAGGUCUGGUGGCAAGAGCGCUAGAGGAGAUCUGGGCUCAGGCCUAAGUGCUAAUUCCAGCUUUGCCACUGACUUGCUGUGACUUCAGUCAAGUCCUGGGACCUUUACUUCUGUUCCUUCCCCCUUCCCCUCCCCCCAGUCUGUAAAAAGGAUCUACGUUGGGGGUUUUGAGGGCUGAUCAAUCUGACAGAUGUGGAGAACCUCAAAGGUCCAUACAUGUGCUCAGUAUUAUUCCAGCUUGCUUAUAUGCCCUGCUCCUUCUGACCAUAUCAGACUUUGCAUUGCCUAGUUCCUCUGCUCUGUGAGAAGCAACGGCUUUGCCCUUCCAGCAGAGAUCUCUGUGGCGUGCCUCUGAGUCUCCCGCAAAGAGGUUGAUUGGGAGCACAGCCGCUUCAUUUGACCACUUGCUCAGAGCCAUGCGGCUGCGACCUUUCUCCCUCCAUCUAGGAGCAGAGAAUUCAUUGUGAAAGUUAAUGAGUCUUGCUUGGCCAGUUCUUUGCAAGGCUGGAAACUUUAUUUUCAAUUGCUAGAAAGGCAUGUGAGCAGAAUAUCCAGCCAAGGAAGUCUUCCUUUCCUAUGCCCUGUUGACUCCGAUGCUGUUGGGGGUUUCUCUUCCAGCUGGCUGAUUGCUUUGCUUGUAUGUUUCACUUAUAAAAAUGGAAGUGUCCCUUUCAUUAGAGCACUCGUGCUGAUUCAUUGCGGUGACACACACAACUAGGAGUUUCUUCUGGCUCAACCUGGUGAGGAAGUAUUUAAAUUCCUUUCCUAACAAGCUCCUGUGAGUCAAAAGCAGAAAUAUAAAUUGUACAUAUUGUCUCUAAUGUAAGAAAAGCCCCUCAGUAGAAAUGAGACUGCCCCAAAACUAUUUAAGGUCAUACUUGGCAUGGAAUUUCAGCUGUUACCAAUCUGUAGAGACCUCUUCUGUAAAGGAUCCUUCCCCUGAAAGACUGACCUCUGCGCUGCGUCAGCCCAUUAAGGAAAUUGACAUUUGUACACUCAGGAACUUGCUGUGAAUUUGUUUUUUAAAUCCUGGUCCUCAUGUGCCCGCAAGCCUUAUUACUCGGCCACCUGUGAUUCAACUCCUGAAGUCACUGCUGUUGGUGCAGACCUCCCAGCUUUGAACCCUACUAAAGGCCCAGAGCAGGUUGGAAAGCCAAGUGCUGAUAGUGAAAUCGGAUCAUGUAUAUUUUGCAUGCCUUGUGACAGAGUACUAAUGAUUUGGGCUUGAUUACUUUCUGCAAGUGGAAGCCUCUCAAUUGUAAACAUUAGAGAGCAGGGAGUAAUAUUGUCUAGUGGUCAGAGCAAGGAACUAGGAGUCAGGGUUCCUGGGGUCUAUCCACUUAACUACUAACUUGCAGCAUGAGCUGGAGGGAAGAGAGCACAAGUUGCUUCCCUUCUCUGCCUCAGUUUCCCCAUCCUGUAAAAAGAAGCGGGCAGCUUAUUUUGAAAGGGGAUAUAGGAGCGCAGAGUACCAUUCCCUGGAUUUCUGUACUGUGAGACGAGUGGAGUCGCAGUGUAGAAAUACGUGGCUGAGCUACCUGUGUUGUAAAACAAGUUACCCUACUAGCAAAGGGAGUAAAAGAUAAAUUUUCUGUAACUGCAAAUAAUGUUUCUGUCCUGAAAUGUACUGGUUCCCUGCCUUUGCUCAUUAGCACUUGUAUAUCCGCUCCUUAUCUGCCUCUUGAAUUAUUCAAACCUACAGCCAGGCCUGUAGCAUCACAAAGGUGCUUCCUGUGCCAGGGAUUUCUUUCGGUUACCUUGUUCAGUCACACUUGCCCAUCAGAGAUAGGACAAAGCGGAAUGAGAAUAGUUUCGCUUUACAGUAAUCCGUAUUCUAGACACACAACACCAGUAUCAUGAAUACACUGCUGGUUCUCCUGUGUUCGCUAUAGGUCUAACUAAUUAAAUUACUUAUGCGCUCUCUGGUAAUUGUGUGUUCAGUGAUUUCUCCUUUCUCUGGCGGAACUUUAGCAUGGUAGUUCCUACAAGUGUGAUAUUGAUGGGGAGCAGAGGGAACCACUGAGUGGUCGUUUAGGCAGGUGGCAGAGAGAGCACAGGGCUUGGGCUGCCACUAUAGACAACAGUAGUCAAUCUGCAUUGUCCUGCCAUGGACCCACUGUCCCUUCUUGGUAUGUGACGUAGUGUUCGAGGUGGCUCCUGUAACAGUUUUGCCAACCCUAAUCCAUGUUCCUGGACCUUUCCCUAGACGAGGCAUGUGUCUGACCAGGCUAUGCUCCCCUGAGUCCCUGCUUGAAAAUAUUGAGAGGCCUUGGAGCUGGUGCAUGUGGAAUGAAGCGCUAGGCAAGAACAAACACAAGUUGCAUCACCUCUUAAGCAGGAGCGUCACUAGAGUCUGUCUCCCGUGAUACCAUUGCUGUAUCUGCAGCCGUGCCCAGUUAGCUUUAAGAGGAACAAAUGUCUGUUGCUCUGCUUUUAUUAGCAAACGCAUGAAAUGGAAUUGCAGCACUGGUGGAAUGGGUCUAUUCCAUACUCAGCAAAUCUGUGUAAAAUGAGGAGUAUGCAUGGCUCUUCUUUAUUCAGAGCAAAUACAGGGAUGAAUCUCUCAAGUUCGUGGUUUCUCCACAUACGCUAACCUUUUUAAAAUGAAUUGAAGGCUGUGAACAGGCUGAAACAGAUUCUAGCAGGCUAGUCAGGAAUCCCAGCUUGAGUCAGCUAUCUAAACAGAGCUGCCUUACUCCAGAGAAGUGGAAAGAUGCAAGGGGAGACUUCUGUCUGUGGUUACUUGCUCAUCUAGGCUUAGGAAGUGCUGUGGGGGCAAACUUCAGUGAGUGGGGUUGCAGCCCGGCACGUGGGGUAGCAGUACCACUCGGAUUUGGCCUCACAGCCCCUCUGUCAUGGUGGAGGGGCCACGGGGCCAAAUCUCAGCGAGUGGUGCUGUGACCCUGUCUGCCAGAUCACAAUGCCACAGGGUUUGAGGCUCUCUCAAAUGGGGGCCUGGGGUAAACUGUCCCUUUUUGCCCCCCACCCUUUGCCUCCAGGCUGCCUUAUUGAGAGGCACACAAGCACCAUGACAGGGGUUUGAGAGAUGCAUUUCAUAUGGGUCCUGCUCAUCAGAACUGUCCCCUGCAAAUAGAAAAAGUUCCAGAUUGCUUGUGGGCUUUACAAAGAAACGGCAGCUGUAGCUAAGCAGGAUUAGGGCUGCUGGAUGCAGACCAACCCUGUCAGUUCUCACAGCUGUGGCCUGGAAACAUGGCUUUGGAUGCACAGUGGUUCACCAACAAACUGCUGUGUCAGGAUGGAGAGCUCCACUUGUGUUUAACUGUGACCAUAUGUGGGGGUUUUAAAUCCAACUGCAAGUCAUAUUUCCUACAGCAGAGAACCGCAAUGUGUAAUUGACUCUUCUUAGCUUAAUCUGAAUUUGUAACGAGGGCUUUAAAAUCCUUCAUUGUGGCAUGGCCAGGCUUCAGCUUCGUAGUAAGCAAUUGGUACUAGUAGGAAAACCAUCUGCUAUUGAAGUCAGAAGUACUUAGUUAAAAAUCUUGUUAAAGCUUUUUUAAAAAACAACAACAAAAAAACCCAUAAAGCAGCCCUGCAGUGAAUUCUUCUAGCUGCCCAGAGAUGCAGGGGUUUGGGCAGUGGACACUCAGGGGAAAAUCCCCUACAGGAGGGCGUGUUUGACUUCUGGCUGGUGAAUGGGACUUGCGCGAGAUCAGGCAAGAAUUGAAGAGAUUUGGGCUUGCAGAGGAAAGGGCAGUAUCCGGGCCAGAGAGAACGAAGUGUAGUGACAGCAGAAAUAGUACCUUUGUGACACACCUGCUGGCUACUGCCACAGUCCUUCUUAGCCGUGUCCACUCUGCAGUGGUCUGCUGCCAGGAGAGCUGGCUUCAUUCUGCCAUCUGCUGUUGGGUUAAAUGCUGAUGGGUGAAUCUGUUCUUGCAUCAGAGCCAGUAGAAAAACAAUGAAUGGGUUUUGGUUGUUCACCUUGAACUUAAAGCAUUAAUGAAAAUGAUCUGGAAAGACCCUUCUAUCUGUGAUGCUCUUCCCUCUUUAAUGGAGUCUGGAGAACCCGCUCAUCUAAGGCAGUUGCUCAAAUAAGAUCAAGAAACAGAAUGGAGAGAUGCAAUGUAAAGCAAAUGGGCUCAUCCAGCUCUUGUGGGAGCCAGGGAACCUACUUAAUGUGUUAUGAGAUGACUCCUGCUGGGACAGGCCAGGACUGGCUGAGCCAAAUGCUAGAACAAGGUAAUGUCCUCUCCAAAGGCACUGGAACAAAGCACUUAGUGAGCCAGAAUUUGAAGCCUGCCAAUUGUAAUAAACUUCAUCCCCAUAAUGGCUUUUUUUCCAUCCUGGAUUGUAGCUGCUCUAACUCUGAGGUAUGCUAGUAUCCUACUUCUCUGCCUGGAUUGAAAGGCUUAGUCCUUAUCAGACGGUGGCUCCUGGGGCACAUUUUAUAUUGCUGUCUGUCUGUCUGGUCUGAACCUCCUUAAGCUCCCAAGCUGAGGAAUGGCUUAAUGAAAAUUGUUUUUUCCAAAGUAGCUCUAAAACCCAGCCUUAUUUACAGUCUCUAAAGUGGGCCAUACCCUGACAUGCAUAAUACCAUACUCCUUAAACACGGUGAACAAGGCAGGGUGCAUUACCUCUUCUCCACAGCUGCCUUUCAGAGCAAAACCCAUGAUGAUAACGCCAGAUAUAGUUAGCUGUACCAUCCCCGUGAAUAAUGGAUGAGACCCAUAAUUGGCCACGUAACUAACCUAAGUACUGGACUGCUAUUGGGACUGAAGUCGCUUUGUGACCCUGGCAGACAAAAUCAACCUGGACAGAAUGAUGUUGCUAUUUGCUGUGAAACGGUCUGUGGCUUUGACUCAAAUAUGAAAAUAAAACUCAAAAGCUGCUAAAAUCCUAGUGCAUGAUUGCACUAUUGUCUCCUAGCAGUGCCUUUGCCAGCAAAAUGGAGGUUCGACAUCGUGGGUUAAAUUGGCAGUGUUUCUUGCUUAAGGACUACAAUAAUUGCUUCAGAUUAGCCUUUUGAUUCUCUCUUAAAGGAGAAAUCUGAGAAACUGUUCGGCGUUUUUGAUCUGAAUGUCAAGACUUCUGAACUUUCCAACUUUGACCCUUUCACUCUUAUUAAAAUUAACCGUGGAAAACUUAUCCUGAUUGUUAACGGUCUUGGUCGGCAUCUCUCCCCAUUGACGGGUUAUAUUUCACCACGCUGACAUCACAAUGAACAGUACAUGAUUACAGAUUAAGAUUGGGGGGAGGAAUUGGCAACAGCAUGGGGAGUGUGAAAUUACCUCAUCUAAUUACGAUUCUGAGAUGGGCCUUGAAAUCUCAGGAUGACGGGCAAAAUUCCUGGCCCACUUUUUGUGAGGUAGCCUGGGGAAGGGGCCUAGAAUAUAAAGUUUGGCAGGGCUUCAGUGAACUCUGCUGCAAACACUGGUGGGGACCCCAUGUGCUGUCCCAUAUUGGACAUUCCCUUAUUUUCAUGACUGGGUGGGCAGCCAGCAGGGGUCAUUGUUGAGUGACACACAGCUCACGAUGGUGAUUCAACAGAAGUUGAUGGGAGACUAGAGUUUGAAACUAAAACAUUACUGAGUGAAUAUAAAAACAGCAGUGUGCUUGGUGGCAUGCCGACCUAGCAACUAGGGGAUCUCUGGAUAUAAACAAAGGAUCUCUCAUGUUCCUGCAUGUAGCAGAGCUACCAAGUGCCUCUGAUGUUCUGGCUUCGCUCUAAAACCAUUCUUGAGCAUCUUGCUCUGAGUGGAAAAGGUGGUAAGCAGAUGACUCAAUUGUCCAUGCUUGGUGGCUAUGGUGUAUAUUGGAGUGAGAGGCAGGGAGAGCAAGUGGGCUGAGAUUAUGAAGAAGCUAGAUGCCCAUCUCCAUACAAGUCAUUUUCUCUCUGGCCCUAGCAGGAGGGUGGACUUGAUUGAAUCAAAAUGAGUGUCUUCCAUCUCCGUCUCCUGUGAUCCUAGGUUGCUUUAGGGUGGCUGAUCUGAUGCUGGAAGUGGGCAUUGUGGGACAAGAGGCCUGGGGCAGGAAGUGACCUCACAUUGU